CAUCCUAAGCCCCGCCCCCGACCUGCCGGAAGCCAAUGAGGCGCUGCUCUGCCUGCGCAGCCGCCAGCCCCGCCCCCUCCGCGUCAUCAACGUCACGCCACGCCCCUUCGAGCUCCGCUGGCCCCCCUGGCGCAGCGACACGCUGUCAUUGGCCGGCUUCAACGAAUCGGUGCUCAGGCUGGUGGCCGAGGGCGACGCCGCCCAGAUCCUGGCCUACGUCGAGGCCGCCCCCGCCCGCUACGGCCUGGCCCCGCCCCCGGCCCCGCCCCCGGCCCCGCCCACCGGCGAGGCCCCGCCCCCGCCACCCCCCUUGAUCAGGUGAGCCCAGGGAUCCGCUCGAUCCCGGGGAUCCACUCGAUCCCGGGGUCAGGGCGGGCGUCAAGGGGAUCCCGGGGGGGAUCUGGGGAGUCCUUGGGGGGUGGGGGUCUACUGGGAGUCGCUGGGAUCUACUGGGGCAUACUGGGAUUUGCUGGGACCCGGUUGGAUCUACUGGGCCCCAGUGGGAUCAACUGGGAUCUACUGGGAUCUGCUGGGGUUUACUGGGGGUUGAACUGGGGUUUUGGGGGCUGUCACUGGGAGGGAUCCACUGGGAUCUGUCGUGAUCUACUGGGAUUUUUCAGGGUCUACUGGGUUCCAGUGGGAUCUGUCAGGGUCUACUGGGGCUCUGGGGGUUGAACGGGGAUCCGAACUGGGAUUGGAAUGGUGGGGGGAUCUGUCUAUGGGGAGGUCCUGGGUCCAGUGGGAUCUGGUGGGAUCCAGUGGGGUGUGGGAGAUCUGGAGGGGAUCUGGUGUGGUCUGCUGGGGUGUUAUGAUGGAUCUGAUGGUUUCUGGUGGGAUCUGGCGGGAUUCACUGGGAUCUGAUGGAUUCUGGUGGGGUCUAGUGGGGUAUUAUGGGGGAUCCGUUGGGGAUCUGGUGGGAUCUGUGGGUUUCUUGUGGGAUCUGGUGGGAUCUGAAGGCAUCUAGUGGGAUCUGGUGGGACAUUAUGGGGGAUCUGGUGGGGAUCUUGCAGGAUCUGUUUGGAUCCAGCGAGAUCCGAUGGGUUCGGGUGGGAUCCGGUGGGAUAUUAUGGGGGAUCUGAUGGGAUCUGGUGGGAUCCGAGGGGUUCGGGUGGGACCCGGUGGGAUAUGAUGGGGGAUCUGAUGGGAUCUGGUGGGAUCCGGUGGGAUCUGAGGGGUUCUGGUGGGAUCUGCUGGGAUAUUAUGGCGGAUCUGAUGGGAUCCGGUGGGAUCCAGUGGGAUCUGAAGGGUUCUGGUGGGGUGUGGUGGGAUAUUAUGGGGGAUCUGGUGGGAUUUGGUGGGAUCUG
ensembl:lncRNA